rnacentral:piRNA from 1 species
UAGGAUUUUCUACUUGCCAAA